rnacentral:rRNA from 1 species
CAGCAGCCGCGGUAAUACGUAGGGUGCAAGCGUUAAUCGGAAUUACUGGGCGUAAAGCGUGCGCAGGCGGUUAUAUAAGACAGAUGUGAAAUCCCCGGGCUCAACCUGGGAACUGCAUUUGUGACUGUAUAGCUAGAGUACGGCAGAGGGGGAUGGAAUUCCGCGUGUAGCAGUGAAAUGCGUAAAUAUGCGGAGGAACACCGAUGGCGAAGGCAAUCCCCUGGGCCUGUACUGACGCUCAUGCACGAAAGCGUGGGGAGCAAACAGGAUUAGAUACCCCCGUAGUCCCUGUCUCUUAUAC